rnacentral:pre_miRNA from 1 species
UCAGCCCACUUCCAGCUGGAUUAUGGAACUGGUCCCAGCUGGAAAUGAGGCAAUCCAGCUGGACUUCCCAAUUUCCAGCUGGGACUAGUUCCAUAAUCCAGCUGGAAGUGGACUGA